UUCGACUUAGCUCAGUGGUUAGAGCGGAGGACUGUAGUUUUAUUAAUCUAAUUGGAUCUCUUAGGUCGCUGGUUGGAAUCCGGCAGUCUGGA
rnacentral:tRNA from 1 species